rnacentral:rRNA from 1 species
GAUGAACGCUGGCGGCGUGCCUAAUACAUGCAAGUCGAGCGAACAGACGAGGAGCUUGCUCCUUUGACGUUAGCGGCGGACGGGUGAGUAACACGUGGAUAACCUACCUAUAAGACUGGGAUAACUUCGGGAAACCGGAGCUAAUACCGGAUAACAUGUUGAACCGCAUGGUUCAACAGUGAAAGACGGUCUUGCUGUCACUUAUAGAUGGAUCCGCGCCGCAUUAGCUAGUUGGUAAGGUAACGGCUUACCAAGGCAACGAUGCGUAGCCGACCUGAGAGGGUGAUCGGCCACACUGGAACUGAGACACGGUCCAGACUCCUACGGGAGGCAGCAGUAGGGAAUCUUCCGGAAUGGGCGAAAGCCUGACGGAGCAACGCCGCGUGAGUGAAGAAGGUCUUCGGAUCGUAAAACUCUGUUAUUAGGGAAGAACAAAUGUGUAAGUAACUAUGCACGUCUUGACGGUACCUAAUCAGAAAGCCACGGCUAACUACGUG